GUCGUACGCUUCUUUUUCACCGGAGCUUGCUCCACCGGAAAAAGAAGAGUGGCGAACGGGUGAGUAACACGUGGGUAACCUGCCCAUCAGAAGGGGAUAACACUUGGAAACAGGUGCUAAUACCGUAUAACAAUCGAAACCGCAUGGUUUUGAUUUGAAAGGCGCUUUCGGGUGUCGCUGAUGGAUGGACCCGCGGUGCAUUAGCUAGUUGGUGAGGUAACGGCUCACCAAGGCUACGAUGCAUAGCCGACCUGAGAGGGUGAUCGGCCACAUUGGGACUGAGACACGGCCCAAACUCCUACGGGAGGCAGCAGUAGGGAAUCUUCGGCAAUGGACGAAAGUCUGACCGAGCAACGCCGCGUGAGUGAAGAAGGUUUUCGGAUCGUAAAACUCUGUUGUUAGAGAAGAACAAGGAUGAGAGUAACUGUUCAUCCCUUGACGGUAUCUAACCAGAAAGCCACGGCUAACUACGUGCCAGCAGCCGCGGUAAUACGUAGGUGGCAAGCGUUGUCCGGAUUUAUUGGGCGUAAAGCGAGCGCAGGCGGUUUCUUAAGUCUGAUGUGAAAGCCCCCGGCUCAACCGGGGAGGGUCAUUGGAAACUGGGAGACUUGAGUGCAGAAGAGGAGAGUGGAAUUCCAUGUGUAGCGGUGAAAUGCGUAGAUAUAUGGAGGAACACCAGUGGCGAAGGCGGCUCUCUGGUCUGUAACUGACGCUGAGGCUCGAAAGCGUGGGGAGCAAACAGGAUUAGAUACCCUGGUAGUCCACGCCGUAAACGAUGAGUGCUAAGUGUUGGAGGGUUUCCGCCCUUCAGUGCUGCAGCUAACGCAUUAAGCACUCCGCCUGGGGAGUACGACCGCAAGGUUGAAACUCAAAGGAAUUGACGGGGGCCCGCACAAGCGGUGGAGCAUGUGGUUUAAUUCGAAGCAACGCGAAGAACCUUACCAGGUCUUGACAUCCUUUGACCACUCUAGAGAUAGAGCUUCCCCUUCGGGGGCAAAGUGACAGGUGGUGCAUGGUUGUCGUCAGCUCGUGUCGUGAGAUGUUGGGUUAAGUCCCGCAACGAGCGCAACCCUUAUUGUUAGUUGCCAUCAUUCAGUUGGGCACUCUAGCAAGACUGCCGGUGACAAACCGGAGGAAGGUGGGGAUGACGUCAAAUCAUCAUGCCCCUUAUGACCUGGGCUACACACGUGCUACAAUGGGAAGUACAACGAGUCGCGAAGUCGCGAGGCUAAGCUAAUCUCUUAAAGCUUCUCUCAGUUCGGAUUGUAGGCUGCAACUCGCCUACAUGAAGCCGGAAUCGCUAGUAAUCGCGGAUCAGCACGCCGCGGUGAAUACGUUCCCGGGCCUUGUACACACCGCCCGUCACACCACGAGAGUUUUAACACCCGAAGUCGGUGAG
rnacentral:rRNA from 1 species